rnacentral:rRNA from 1 species
GACGAACGCUGGCGGCGUGCUUAACACAUGCAAGUCGAACGAUGAACUUGGAGCUUGCUCUGGGGGAUUAGUGGCGAACGGGUGAGUAACACGUGAGUAACCUGCCCUGGACUCUGGGAUAACUUCGAGAAAUCGGAGCUAAUACCGGAUAGGACCUUGCACCGCAUGGUGUGGGGUGGAAAGUUUUUCGGUUUGGGAUGGACUCGCGGCCUAUCAGCUUGUUGGUGAGGUAAUGGCUCACCAAGGCGUCGACGGGUAGCCGGCCUGAGAGGGUGACCGGCCACACUGGGACUGAGACACGGCCCAGACUCCUACGGGAGGCAGCAGUGGGGAAUAUUGGACAAUGGGCGGAAGCCUGAUCCAGCAACGCCGCGUGAGGGAUGACGGCCUUCGGGUUGUAAACCUCUUUCAGUACCGACGAAGCGCAAGUGACGGUAGGUACAGAAGAAGCACCGGCCAACUACGUGCCAGCAGCCGCCGUAAGAC